CCUGGCGGCAGUAGCGCGGUGGUCCCACCUGACCCCAUGCCGAACUCAGAAGUGAAACGCCGUAGCGCCGAUGGUAGUGUGGGGUCUCCCCAUGCGAGAGUAGGGAAUGCCAGGC
rnacentral:rRNA from 1 species